GCGGGAAUCAGAGGGAGCGAGAUCGCGAGAGGGCUCAAGCCAGGAGUGGUCAGAAGCCCAAGCAGCCCAAAGGCGACGGCUUGACUCCCGAGCAGCGGCGCGAAAGGGAUGCGAAGGCAUUGAAAGAGAAGGCGGCGAGGAAAGCAGCGCAGGUGGCUGCUGGAGGGAUCAAUGCAGGCGGUGGUGGUGGGAAAGCCAACAACAAGAAAUGACAAUUGGGAUGGAUAUAGGGAAAACUAGAACUGGGUCAGAUCUGUGGUGUUUCUUUGGUUAUGGGGUCAUCAUUACCAUGUCGUUUUGAGUUUGAAGAAAUGUCAUAGGAUGUUCUCUUUCUUGAAGGACAUUGAUGUUGGCUUCUGAACAGCGUCUGAUUUGGAGGGAAAGCAUUCUUCCCCGCUGUAUAAUGGAACUACUGAUGUUGUGUGCUCUUCAAUUGUGACUGGUUGUGCAUGCCUAAUUUUAGAAUAAUGAUGCAUGAUUAGGCAAUUGACCUUUAA